rnacentral:rRNA from 2 species
GGCGGGAUUACCCGCUGAGUUUAAGCAUAUCAAUAAGC